UACAGAGGUCCCGAGCGUUGUUCGGAUUCAUUGGGCGUAAAGGGUGCGUAGGUGGUGAGGUAAGUCGGAUGUGAAAUCUCCGGGCUCAACCCGGAAAUGGCAUUGGAAACUACCUUGCUGGAGGAUUUGAGGGGGGAUUGGAAUACUUGGUGUAGCAGUGAAAUGCGUAGAUAUCAAGUGGAACACCAGUGGCGAAGGCGAAUCCCUGGAAAAUACCUGACACUGAGGCACGAAAGCUAGGGGAGCAAACAGG
rnacentral:rRNA from 1 species